CUCCCCCAUUUUCGACCUUUUUUCUCCCUUCUAUCUUCAUUCUUCCCCAAAGACGAAACGUAGCCGCCGCUCAAAGCCACCGUUGUCGCCGCCGUCUGGCCUCAGAUCCGCCGUAUUUUUACGCCGAAUUGAAGCUCAGCGUCUCCUAUUCCUUUCUAUCGGUGUAGAUUCCCUAAAAAUCAAUCCUCGGAAAGAGGCAAAACUGGAGUCUCGAGUUUCGAAGUGUCCUUAUUCCGAUCUCGGAAUCUGACCGUUGAAUCGGCCUGAGAUCGAGCUAUAUUCUUUUUCGCCUCAAGCGCUACUCGCUGACCGUUCGGAUCGGUCAAAAAAUACCCUCCUGGCCGAUUUUUAGGCACUUAACCUGUUGAAGACUUGAGUUUUAUACUGAUCUGUCUUGCUAAAUAUCUGACAAGAUUGGAGGAACCAAAUUAACUAGCCGUAUUUGUACUUGCACCGGGAGCUUCUCUUCUACACUGGUGUCAAGUAGUAAGCCAGAAGCCACGGCAUCCUGCCAGAUUUGUUGUGGUAGACCAUUAGUUGAUGGAAUAGAGUCUGUAUCUUCAGGCAUGAUGAGCACAGUAGGCCUGGAACUCACAAGUUUUAUAGAUCCCGAUUGGACUUGGAAGACUGUUUCAAAGAGGAAUAGGAGUGCAACAAGGCGUAGUAGGAAACUGGUAGCUGAUAGCUUGACAUUUGGAAAGGGUCUAGCUGAUAAAAAUGCCAGAACACUGGAGGAUGUUUCGGUUUCAGAGUCAGAGAAGGUUGGUGUGGAUGUUUUAGGACGGCGCUUUAGUGAAAAAGUAGAGAAUGUUCCAAUUAAGAAAAGGAGAUUUAUGUUCCAGUCUUCGUCACCCCCACCCCCAUCGACUCCUAAUCCGCACCUGGAAGCCUCUGCACAGCAUGUAGAUUUUCAACCUGCUCCAGAUCAGGAUUCUGGUUCAGGUGCUGUGCAGGGGCAACAGCUCAGAAAAUCUGAUUGUUCUGCCAAGUCGUUUGUCUCUAGUAUCGAUGUUGAGAAGAUUUCAGAGGUAAUAAAUGGUGUAGAUGAUUUCUCAGGGAUUGAAAUACUUGCAGCUGCUGCUUGCAGUGAUAGCAUUUGUAAUGAAGUUACUGAAAAUGAGGGAAAUCCAUUAGUAGAAGAACCAACGCAGGAGAAAAUUCAGUUUUCUGCUUCUUCAAUUCAUUUGGAAGAAACUACUGCAUCAUUGGAGGUGGCGUGCAGCUUUCCAAAAGAAUCGGUAAAUGAAAGUAAGUCUGAGGGUUCAUCUUCCCAGGACAAUUCCUUUGCUGUUUUGCGUGAAUUUCCUAGUGACAAGGAUACAACACCAGAAAGUUCUGUUCCAUUGCCAGAUGAUAGGUUACUCUGGGAUUUAAAUGUUUCAAUGGAUGCUUGGCCUUGUGAUGGUGGGAAUGUUGAUUCUAAAAAGGAUUCUAUUGAUGAUAUUUCUGUGAGAAGUGAAGAGUUGCAGACUAAGGAACCUCAUGAUAUAAAAAAUGAUGCUACAAACACAGUGGUUGCAUCUGAUGUUGGUGGGGGUAAUAAGAUGACUUCAGACUCAAGAACCAUGCCUUUUGGGACUGAUGAUUCGAGUACAGAGAAACAGGAAUCUCAAGGAUGCUCUGGUUAUGAUUCUCAAAAGGAUUCUUUUGAUAAUAUUUCUGUGGGAAGUGAAGAGUCGCCUGCUAAAGAACCUCAAGAUGUAAAAAAUGGUACUACAAAUGAAGUGGUUUCAUCUGAUGUUGAUGGUACAACAAAUGAAGUGAUUUCAUCUGAUGUUGAUGGUACUACGAAUGAAGUGGUUUCAUCUGAUGUUGGUGGGGGUAAUAGGAUGACUUCAGACAUCAGAACUGUGCCUGUUGAGACUGAUGACUUGAGUACAGAGAAACAGGAAUCUCAAGGAUGCUCUAGCUAUGAUUCUCCAAAGGAUUCUUUUGAUACUAUUUCUGUGAGAAGUGAAGAGUUGCAGGCUAAGGAACCUCAGGAUAUAAAAGAUGAUAAUACGAAUGAUGUGGUUUCACCUGAUGUUGAUGGGGGUAAUAGGAUGACUUCAGAUUUGAGAACUUUGCCUGUUGAGACUGAUGACUUGAAUGGAGAGAAACAGGACACUGAAGGAUGCUCUGGUUAUGAUUCACAAUUUGAGGAUGGGGAGUUGAGGGAAUCAGAUGUUCAAUGUUGGGAGGAAGCGGAACAGGUGGAUUAUGACACUGAAUUUGAGGAAGAAAGAUCAUUUGGCUUGGAAGCUGAGAGUGGUGAGCAGGAACUAAAGGUAGAAAGAGGAUCAAAUCCGGAACUAACUGGCAGUUUUAAAUGUUACGAAGCAAGAGAGAGUUUGAGGAAAAAUUCAGUGAGCUUGAAGAUUGGAACUGUGGAAGUUUCCGAUGGUGAGACUAUGAAAAUUGAUUGCUUGGAUAGGUCUAAUUAUGAUCUUAGAGUAGAUUUAUCCAAGGUAUCAAAAAGGGAAAUACUUUCAUGUGUUGAAGGAUCAUUGUCCACUGAUGUUAGAAGCAGGUUUGACAAUUUUAAUGGUUUGUAUCCUCGAGCUGAAAGAGGCUCUGGUUCUGACAGAUUUGUUGGGUGUGAUGGAUCUUCUUCACAUAUGCGUGUCAGAAGCCCAGGAGGUGCUCAUUUUUUCAAUCCUUCAGCUAAUUAUCGGGAUUCUAAGCGGCAGGAUCCAUCUAUUUAUCAUGGCCCUUACGGUUUUGGGCGCCCCAGACCGAAAAGUGCUUUUGACAACCGAGAAUAUCCCAUGGGUGCAGACCAAGCACCUUCGGAAGCUGCUGGUGUUCCAAGAACUGACCACCGCAUUACCCGGCAAUUUACGGGCUCUAACAGGUCAUUGCUUAGAAGGAGAUCACCAAUUGAAAGGGCUGAUUCUUACGGUAUGUUUCCAAGGAUGCCAAACGUAAGAGAUACUAGUCCUGAUCGGAACAGGUUUAGAAGAUAUCCGCAAGGAGUUAGUAGAGGCAUCAGAGAUCAAUAUCUCAGGCAUAUUCCUGAUGACAGCUCACGGUACGAGAGUCGCAUGCCACAUUGUAUAGACAGGAGAGAAAGAAGCAUUUCCCCCCAUGGCGGAAGACCUCACCAUACUGUACCUUACAAGAGAGCUCGAUCAAGAUCAAGGAGCCGCUCUCCCAUUGAUUGGUUAUUGCACAGGGAUCGAAAUGAGGGUUCAAGACGUCGCAACAGGUCACCCGAUUUUAGGUCUGAUGCUAGAAUAGAUAGGGUGAGGCUGCCAUUUGCAAAGCGAUUCGCUGCAGGUUACGGAGAGUUCAUAUCCUCACCACGAAGUCGUGUUUCACCGCAACGAAAUUCCAAGAUCUUUGAGGAUCGUAGUAAUCCUGGUUUAGACCAUUUUAGGGAACGAAAAUCACACAUGAGAAUGAUUCAACAAGAUCAAAGGUUUGAUCAAGUCCGCCCCUUUCGGAGAUUAAAUUCACACGACUACUUCAACCCCAUGAUUCGACCUAGAAGAUUUCCCGAUAGGACUACUGGUGGUAAAGGGUGUAAAUAUGAAACCAGUGAUGAUGGUAAACAUAGUAGCAGAUAUCCAAUGAUUCAUCGAGUGAGGUGUUACGAUACAGAUGGUGGAGCCCGUCGGUUUCGUUAUAACGAAGAAGAUUCAUACAUGGCUAAGAACUCUUUAACCGUGACUAAUUCAACCGGGGUCUCAUCUAGACGCCCCGAUGAUGCUGAUGCACCUAGGACAGCCAGUGAUGAUAGGUGAAUUUAAGAUUAUAUGCACAACUGUGACAGGAUUUGGCUGGAAAAAAGGGAGAUGUGAAACCUUUUAAGAGACACUACGUUUUGGAGAUUGCAACUAAAAUCAAAUAUGGUUACAGAUUAAACAAAGAUGGUAAUAACAAGCACAAGCCAAUGGGCUAAACUUCAGUUCAAGCCAUGACGAAACCAGUCCCUGCAGCUGAGAAAAACAACAUAAUUAAAUACAUUCAAAAAGGAGGUAACUCAAUUGAAUUUGGUUAAUUAAUCUGAUUGACCGGUUCACAGAUUAACCGAGUUCUAUUUCAAAACUCAAGAUUUUGACGGAUUUUCAGUCCAAUUGAUGGUUCUGAAUCCUAAAACAGUGCAACGAGCUCAGAGAAAUAAUGUUUGUCCAAAUUGGGCAGUUCACCGAAGGCACCUAUUGCAGAAAGCUAGAAUUUUUUAUGUACAUUUAUGGCUCAUAAAUUUGGGUGAGAGCUUAAUCUAAAAGAUUUAGUGAAUUUUUAAUGGACUUAUUCAUACAAAUUUUAUUUAGGCAUAAAGAUAAAUUAAGAUUAUAACUUUAACUCA